UGAAUACGAGAUGCUACGGCGUCGAAGCAGUGUAUGUCAGACUUCCAAGAAAAGCUCGCAAUGUCAUAAAUAAAGAAUGCCUGUACCAUAACCGACACAGGUGGGUAGGUAGAGUAUACUAAGGGGCGCGAGAUAACUCUCUCUAAGGAACUCGGCAAAAUAACUCCGUAACUUCGGGAGAAGGAGUGCCUUCUUUAAGAAGGUUGCAAUAACAAGAUCCAAGCAACUGUUUAUCAAAAACACAGGCCUCCGCUAAGUCGUAAGACGAUGUAUGGGGGCUGACGCCUGCCCAGUGCCAGAAGGUUAAAGAAGUUGGUUAGCUUUUGCGAAGCUGAUGACUGAAGCCCUGGUGAACGGCGGCCGUAACAAUAACGGUCCUAAGGUAGCGAAAUUCCUUGUCGGGUAAGUUCCGACCCGCACGAAAGGCGUAAUGAUUUGGAUACUGUCUCGGAGAGGGACUCGGUCAAAUAGACUUGUCUGUGAGGAUGCGGACUACCUGCACCAGGACAGAAAGACCCUAUGAAGCUUUACUGUAUCUUGAAAUUGAAAUUGGACUUUAUUUGCGCAGUAUAGGUGGAAGGCGUUGAAAGUAAUCUUGCGGGAUUAGUGGAGCCAUCAGUGAGAUACCACUCCUAUAAUGUUAGAUUUCUAACUUUGGAUCAUGAUCUGGUCAAAGAACAGUUUCAGGCGGGCAGUUUGACUGGGGCGGUCGCCUCCCAAAUGGUAACGGAGGCGUACAAAGGUUUCCUCUGAACGGGUAGAAAUCGUAUCUAGAGUGUAAAGGCAUAAGGAAGCUUGACUGUGAGACCUACAAGUCGAGCAGGGACGAAAGUCGGUCUUAGUGAUCUGACGGUGCUGAGUGGAAAGGCCGUCACUCAACGGAUAAAAGUUACUCUAGGAUAACAGGCUGAUCUCCCCCAAGAGUUCACAUCGACGGGGAGGUUUGGCACCUCGAUGUCGGCUCAUCGCAUCCUGGGGCGGUAGUACGUCCCAAGGGUUGGGCUGUUCGCCCAUGAAAGCGGUACGCGAGCUGGAUUCAGAACGUCGUGAGACAGUUCGGUCCAUAUCCGGUGUAGGCGUUAGAAUAUUGAGAGGAGCCUUCUUUAGUACGAGAGGACCGAGAAGGACAUACCUCUGGUGUACCAGUUAUCGUGCCAACGGUAAACGCUGGGUAGCUAUGUAUGGAGAGGAUAACCGCUGAAAGCAUCUAAGUGGGAAGCCCACCUCAAGAUGAGUAUUCUCAUC
rnacentral:rRNA from 1 species